rnacentral:rRNA from 1 species
UACGAAGGGGGCUAGCGUUGCUCGGAAUCACUGGGCGUAAAGGGCGCGUAGGCGGCCGAUCAAGUCAGAGGUGAAAGCCCAAGGCUCAACCUUGGAAUUGCCUUUGAUACUGUUCGGCUAGAGACCGGAAGAGGUAAGUGGAACUGCGAGUGUAGAGGUGAAAUUCGUAGAUAUUCGCAAGAACACCAGUGGCGAAGGCGGCUUACUGGUCCGGUUCUGACGCUGAGGCGCGAAAGCUAGGGGAGCAAACAGG